GGCGCUUCUUGCAGCAGAAGCGAUAGUAGCAGGUGCCGCAGCAGUACAGGUAGCCGCUCUCGCUGUUGUUGCACUCGAACUCCUUGUCGUACUGGCCGCUCACGUCGUAGUAGCCCCAGCACGUCUCAAUGUCAGGAGAGUACAUGGAAAGAGUAAGAGGCAGGCCCAAAGAAUGUUUAUGCCAGUGCCAGCCCAACAUGGCCACUGAGAUGUCACUGAAAAUACAAGUCCAGAGAAUGGAGUACUUACCAGGAACCCAGGAAGGAAUGUAUGUGAGUUGGAAGGAAUAACUCAUUGACCUGCUGGAGAAGAAAACAUCAAAGAAGCUCAUCUAAAUAUUAGCAAAAACAACAAUAAAGAUCCAGGGCCAUUAAAAAA